GUCACGGACGAUGACUACGUCACUAGAGGUCUGAGGUCCAUAGCAGAAGAUGCCUCAUGUGACCCUCUCAUGCAGGGGUUGCAUGUCAGGCAUGUGCAUACAGUAGAUAUUAGCCAUGCACUCUCACCAUUUCAUAGUAGAUCACAGAAUCAAGAUACAAAUCUCCAUGCACGGAAAGGAUUUAAGGCAUUGAUCAAUCCUGAACAUAAAUAUUUGGCCAUCAAUGAUAUUUACGCACACACUGAAAAAUCUAUUCAGAAUGACUUACACAAAGGUUUAUAUAACCUUUAUCAAAGGUAAUUUAUAUAGUAAGAUUCAUGGCUGAAGUCUUCAUGAUGGUCAAGGCCUUAAUUUUUAAAAUUAUCAAUUUUUUUCUUUUCUUUUUUUUUAACUUGAAUUUUUUUUUAAUGAAAACUAUCAUGACAAUUUGUCUCUUAAAUGAAAGGAGAAAUGUAAAACUAAAUGGACAAAUAUCAACCUUUUUAUUAUCUUUGCUGUUGUGCCCUCCCUGGAUGGGUGCUGGCACAUGAUGUCUUGCCUGCUGGUCCGUGGUUGCACUCUCACCAUGUGGAUGGAGCUCGGCAGCUGAAGUAAGUGAAGCCAAAGAUCUGCUCUUCAUUUGAGUUUCUUUGAUAAGACACCCCUGCUGUGGUAAAGCCAUGCAUAGGCUCCUUUCAGCCCUAUUCAGACUGUGUGCUCAACGCAACAUGACCACAAACACUGGGUUAAGAAUAGCCAAAAUUAAGACAGAGAGGCAGGGUGGCACAAGAUCUGUUAGUUAUUCAACAAACGAGGAUAGGAAUUUGUGAGGAAGACUUUACAAGUGAGAUGAAUAGUUAGGCAAUCCAUCACAACUAUAGGUCUGAGAGUCUCAGGUCCACACCAGAACACAGGUACAGCUACAGCUGUGAGCUAGAUAUCAGAAGUGGUUUAAUAUGUUAUCUUGAUCUUUAUAUUCAUGAGUUUUCAUUUUAUUUUUAUAAGGUAGCUAAAAUAUAACAAACAAUAGCACAUUGCAAUCUCAAAUUAUGAACAAUACACACAUCCAAAUUUCUAAGUGCAUUUUGAAUAUGUAGACGAGAUCUUUGUCCAGUGAUCGAUUUCUUAUAUUGGCAGAGCAGUUCUUAUAGUUAUCUUCCCUUCCCCAGAAAAGAGUACCAUGCAUUAUGUUUGUGGAAAAAAACACAAAACAACAUAAUUAUCAUUGGAACGAAUAUAAUUAUGUGCCUAGUCUGUUUUGUUUACAUCUGUAUGUGAUAUCUCAAGCUGUCUUCCCUUUCCUACCUAGUCCUGACACCUCUGACUAGCCUUGGGUCUUUAGAGCACAUUAGGCUGUGUAAAUGCAGUUCAUGUUCUUUUCUUACUAUGAACACUUCUCCUUAUUGACAAAUGAAUCCCUAAUAACUCAAGGAUGACACCCAUGUUUAAUGACAGAUGUAGCAUGUGACAGAUUUUAUUAAUAUUCAUAAAAUUAGGAUAGAUAUGAUGACACACGAAAUAAGCAAAGAUCCUUUAGAUAGCUCUAAAGCAUAUUUAAGAAUAUCAAUUAAAAGCUUUUAUAAGUCAUGUUUAUCUAAUUAGUAUAAAACAAUAAGGAUCUCAAUAAAUAAAUAUAAAGAUUAAUGAAAAUUUGUAGGGCUUAUGUUGGAUAAAUGAUAACCCCUGUCGCAUAUGAAUCAAGGACCAUGACUCCUGGGCUGCUCUUACAUCUUAAAGCCUGUGGUUCAUGCUUGGCAUUCUGGUUAUAGAUGCCAGAUGAAUGUUUGUGUUGAUUAAUUUUACUAUAUUCCAUACCUGAAGUCUGCUGAAGGAGUCAUUGAUGAAAUAACCCCAAAGUAAAUCCAGUAUUUUUAUUUGUUGACUGGAAAAUAAAUACAUGACAAAUUCUAGAAAUAUGCACAAAAUAACUGCACUUAAGAGUAUCUAUUGAUGUGAUUGGUACCAUGUUGAACUGUAAGUUGGGAAUCUUAGAGCCUGUCCAUUAUCAAAUAAAGUUCGGGAAGAAACCAGGGGAUAAAUAUGGAGGCCUUUACUGAAGCAGAGAUCACAGAGGAAUGUUUCUCGUUCUUCAUAACUUUCAUAGCUUGUUUUUUAUAGCUCCAAAGAGUAUUUAACGCACACCAGAUCCUAGCAAGCACUUAUUUCUUUAGGUGCAUCCCAAAAUAUAUCCAAAUAUUCGAAAAUAUACCCAAAAAUGGAGUGUUGGUAAUGCUUUUCUGGUUUCAAAGUUCAUGUGUUCAGAAUAUAAGGAUCAAUUUUUAUGUCAUUAAUGGAUGUACACUGAAAUGUAUCUGUGCAUUGAGAAAUUAAUGAUUACUGUGGGUGGAUGAUGACUCGUGGUCUGGAUAUCAAAGGUCCAUAUCUUACACUAUCUCAUCCAUAACCCUGAUACUAGUGGCAGAGUCUAGGAAUAGUCUUCCUUUAUAAUUAGACAAGAACAUUAACAGAAGUAAGUUUGUAAGUCACUUUCUAACACCAAACUACUCCAGAGACUAGAGAGACAGAUAGCUCAGUGGAUAAAAGAACUUACUGUUCUUGUAGAAGACCCACAGUGGGCUGAAUCGCCCAUGUGACAGCCUGUAACUCUAGUUCUUAUGUAUCUGGUACCAUCAUCUGGUCUCUUUACCACAUACAUGUGUCACAAAUACAAAAUGCAGAUUAAAAAAAUCAUUAAAUAGAUAAAAAUAAAAUAAAUAUUUGAGAAAAUAAUUCCACAUGAGUUAUUAAAAUUAGUUAUACCAUCAUUAUAUUAAAAAAUACAGUAAUUUAUGAAAACAGGAUGACUGAGGAGUAGACAGGAAAGAAAACUGUAAGAACCUUCUUAGUAUGGUUCAGAGCUAUAUGUCUAGUGUUUUACAUCAUAAUAGAACAUAUAGUAGUGUCACACAUACAGAUGUUUGAGAAGAGGUGCGAGGCAAGUACACAGAUCAUCUGAACAAAGGAACAAAAUACCAAUUUUCUUUUGUUGAUCUCUUCUGUUUUGAACUCUCAGAAUGCAUUCUUCCACCAAGAUGAUUUACACAGCCUAGCUGGAUCAGGAGCCCCCUAAUAAGCUGCUUCAGAUUGUAAUAUAGACACAGUGUAAGUACAGUCCAUAUUCUGCUGUCGCUUCAUGUUGCAUUUAAAGGCCAUUUACUGUAUUGAUAAGGGCACUAUCUGUUUUAGGAAGAACAGUCAAGUAAAGGCUGCGUAUGGCAUGUGUUUGACGCACAAGGUUUAAUGAAGUUGUUUCAAAUUAAGGAUAUGUAUUGAAAACUGCUUCAUAACUCAAAAAGAAACUGAGGAACUCUGAAGUUUACUGGAAUCUCUUGUCUUUAGUUUUUUGGUGUUUUUUUGGUGGUUUUUUUGUUUUUGUUUUUGUUUUUUUUUUUUGUGAAUCACAAUGAUCCCAGUAGUACUUGUAAUCGUUUGCACACUAAAGAUGCCUACGUGAGUAGAGAAGCAGAGACUGAUGUUGGAUCAAUGAUGACUGUGGGUGCUGUAUGAGUCGUGUAUUAUGACUAUGCGUCUGAGAGUCUGAGGUUCACAUCGUAAUAUAUGUAGAGCAUCCUAUGAUCUUAGUGACAGAUGUUAGGAGUAGUCUACAUUUACAUGUAGAUAAAAUGGUGAUACAUUUGGAAAUCAUUUCUAAUAAGACAUAAUUCCAUAGCAAUAAUGUUAAGCACAUAGACUAAAUAGUGUUUCAUUCAGAUAUGAUAACUGGGGGUUCCCCAUGAGUGAUCUAAAAUUGUUAGCAAAGUUCUUGCUCACCUCAGAGCCAUGCCCAUUUGAUCUGUAAUGCAGAGAUAGUAAUAGAAUAAUGAAGACCUCAUGAGGGAUAUGGUGGAGAAUGACCCAGAGAAGCAGACGGAAUGCAGUUACCUAAACAGAAUCUUAACCUUUUUAUAAUUUUUCUGCUUUUUGCUCUCAGAAUGUAUGCCUGCAGGAUGAGUCCCACCUUCUUCAUUAGUCUUGAGGUUUGAGAUUCCCUGUUUGUGUCUGCAGGAUUCAGAUAGUGUGAGUAUAGUCUGUGUUCUUGUGUUGGAAUUCUUUUGCUUGCAUAAAAACAGGGUAGAAAAUAUUUCUGGGGCUGGUGAGAUGGCUCAGAGGUUGAGAGCACUGACUGUUCUCCCUGAUGUCCUGAGUUCAAUUCCCAGCAACCCCAUGGUGGCUCACAACCAUCUGUAAGGGCUCUGAUGCACUCUUCUGGUGUGUCUGAUGACAGCAGCAGUGUACUCCUGUUCCUAAAAUAAAUAAUUAUUUUAAAUACAUUAUUAUCUCUGAAGAGCAGAUGUAGCCAUAGGCAUAUAAGAUGUAUAUGAAGCACAAUGUUUAAUAAAAUUUUACCAAAUUAAGAUUGUGCAACAAUAGAGAUAGGCAUCAGUGCAGAAGAUCCCGUAGAGGUUUAACUGCACUCACGGAUCUUAUAGUUAGGGCUUGUCUCCAGUGGAGAUUUUCGCAAUGGUCCUAGUCAUCCAUUGCUCAAUAAUUUUACAUAGAUUAGUAGGGAAGAGGAGGACUGAUGUUGGAUCAAUGAUGAAUGUCUGUGAGCAUUCUUAGAGUCAUGAAUCAUGACGACAAAUUUAAUUCUGAGAUCAACAUCAUAAAGUAUCCAGUGACAGCUAUAAGAAGUAGUCUUCUUUUAUAAGUCAGUAAAUGUAAAUAAAAAUUGACUAGGAAGUCAUUUAAUCAAAAGGCAGCUCACAAAGAAGACUACAUAUAUGUAUAUAUGUAUAUAUGUAAGAAGAAAGUGUGACAGAGUAAUGACCAUGGAGGUGAGGGAUAAGAUGAAAUGAGCAGAAGCAGGCAGAAUACAUAGAUAAGCGAACGGAACAUCAAUCUCUUUAUAACCUCUUCUGUCUAUACUUCAAGAAUGGAUAUCCUGCAAGUCGGCUUCGUAGAGUCUCCCUUGAAAGUGGACCUCAUGAUCUAGCCUUUAUGUCCGUGGAUUGACACUGUGAUGGAUUCCCCCCAAGUUCAUUUAGAUAUUCUCUCUUAUUCAUAAAUGUCACGGUCAGCUCUGUUCUUAUAGAUACCAGGUGAGUAUAGCCAACGUUCUUUUGUUGCUUCAUGUUGCUUUUUAAUGGCUGUGCAUAUACUGAGAAAAGAAAGUCCAGUUAUUAUCUGGGAAGAGCAUCCCGCUUAAAGUGUUAAAUGGCAGUUAGAUGAAACAGAAUGUUUAUGAGUAUUUCCAGAAGAGGAAUGUAUAACAGAAAAGAUUCUAAUCAUGGCAAAAGAUCCUGAGGACCUUCAGAGUACACGCAACGAUCUUGUCCUUAGAUUGUGUCAUUUAUUAUCAUCUUAGAGGCACUAGUGAGAUUAAUUGCUCAAAAAAAAAAAAAAACCAUUGAUAAAUCAAUAGAGAAGGAUAGAGCUGAGGUUGGGUCACUGAAGACACACUGUGUGUAGGAGUCUGAGGUCCAUAUUAUGAAUAUAGUUUGUACCCAUAUUCUUAGACAAAAAUGGGAAAGGCUUAUGGGAAACAACACUAUUUUUUAUUUAAUUGAACAUCUUAAAUUUUAAUUGUCAAGUAAUUUUCUAAGUAAGAUAUCAUUCUAUAGAAAGUGUACUAAAAUUACAUACCAAACUCAGUAGUUAAUAAACAGUGGUUAAUUGAGCUUGCCAUGUAAUGUGUUACUUGGUAGGUUCAUAGCCAUAGCCAUUUCUUUUCUCAUAAAAUAUUCAUUAUAGUAUGCCAUACACUUAGAUGAGUGACAAAAAGCACAGGGCUGUGAAUGCAAUGGUCUGUAGACAGAGUGUCAUGGGUUUUCUUUAAUAAUUUCUUCUGCUUUUGCUCUCAGAAUGGAUACCCCAAGGUAAGCUAUGGUCAUCACCUUCACAAUCUGAUUCCUUACAAGUGUAUUCAGUGUGCAUGUCUUUCUUGACAUUGCAUCUAAAGAUUGGGUACUGUAUUGUUGAAACCCUAGUUAUGACCCAUUGGUUAAUAUGACAUGUAUGUAAAUACAAUAUUUCACAAAAUUUUGCUAAAUAAAAAUUUAUAAUAUAAGAUAUGAUCAAUAGGAGAAAAAAUUACAUUCAGGUCUAAUAUAUACUGAAGAAUCUUUUUCUUUGAUUUUUGUGAUUCAUAAUCAUCUCAAUAAUCAUUGGGAAGUUGAUAGGAAUUGGAGUCCUGAGGGUUAGUCUUGACCUCUGGUAGCACACGAUUUGUGGAUGAUGGGUACAGGUCUGGAAGUCUGAAGUCUAUAUCUUUAAACUCUUAGUAUGAACUCAUGUCAAUUAUUAGGAAUAAGCUACAGUUAGAUAAAAUAUCAAUAAAAUAAAUCCCUAAUUCAUGUUCUAUUCAGCACUUACUUGCCCAAGAUUGUUAAAAUAUACACCAAACGUAAUACUUUUUGAGAUGUGAUAGCUGAGGAUGUCACAUGAAUUAAAUUUAUUGGCACUGUUCCUUGUAGGUUAGAAUAAUGGCCAUUUGUUUUCUCAAUAAGAACAUAGUAUUAGAGUGCAUAUGUAGAUAAGCAAUAAGAAAGAGGGUAUUAAGACAAGCAAACAGAGAGCAUGGAUGAGCGAAGGGACCUCCAGUCCUGGACUUGCCCUAAGUUGAUUCUCACUUGGAUAUAAGCUCCAUUUUGCUCUUUGAGUCAAUGGAUCUGGGUUGGCUCAUGGUUUUUUCACUGACUGUGUAUACAUUGAUGAAAAGCAAUAAUCAUUUGAGAGGACAGCCUUUGCCAUAUGGUUAUUACCGAAAGUGGGUCAAACACAAUGUUUAGAGGUUUUUUUGUGUUUUUGUUUUAUUUAUAAUGUGUAAUAAAAGGGGCACUAAUAAUGGCAAAAGGUAUCUGGGAACACUGGCAUAUACUUAAGGAUCUUGUCCCUAGAUCUUUGUGAGUUAUAAUUAUCUCAGUUGUACUCAUAGUUAAUGUCUCAUAAGUCAAGAGCAGAGCGGAAGAUGAUCGUGGAUUAAUGAUGGCCGCUAGUGCUGCAUGCAUAGUGGAUUGUGACUAUAAGUCUGGGAAGCUGAUAUUCACAUCCUUAAAUACUGAAUAUAUACCCAUCAUUCUAGUGACAAGCUGAGUAGUUUACUUUUAUAAUAAAAAGUAUUAGUGACUACUAAUAAAUUAUAUUUAGAUAAAUUAGAAAAAAAUAUAAAAAUUGGAAUUUAUGUUUUAAUCAAGUAUAGUAAAUGUAUACAUUUACUAUACUUACAUUACAAACAGUAAUUCAUUUGAAUUUGAUAUAUGAGAAUUUCAUACUACAUCCAAAAGACUAUAGGCAAUGGUCUUGGUAGGGUCAGUGCCAUGCUUUCUUUUUAAAAAGAGCACACUGUAGCAUAUUGUAUCCAGAGAGGAGUAAUAAAGAGUGGGGUUAUUUACAGUAGGCACAAAGUGAAUAUCAGUCUUUUUAUUUUCUCUUCUGCUUUGUAUUUAGAAUGGAUACCCCUAAGCUGAUGUAUAUACACCCUUCCUCGGUUGUGAGAUUCCUGCUCUGGUGGUUGUAGUCAUAAGAUAUACAUCGUUGCGUACACCUUGGUUGUGGGCACGCACACUACUGUUGAAUUACCACCUUGUCCAAGUGGUAAGUAAGCCUCUGCCUCAGAUGUUUAACGAGAUUUUUGCCAUGUAGGCAACAUAUAAUUAAACCAUUACUAUAGGAUAAAAGAGCCCGUGGCUGUUGGUCAUAUACUCAGUGAUGUUUUCCUUAGAUGUUUUUGUGAUGCAUGAUCACUUGAUAACGAUAUAGAUAUUAAAAGAGAUAGAGGGGUCUGAUGUUGGAUCUGUGAUGACAAAGGGUGGCGUAUGAGUUGUGGAUCAUGAGUACAUGUCUGGAAGUCUGAGAUUCACAUCAUGAAAGAUCUAAUAUAUCCUCAUGACCUUAGGGACAGAUGUUAGGAACAACCUAUUUUUACAAGUAAAUUGGCUCAUGGUAUAAACACAGUAAAUAGUUUCUUCCAGUCAAGACAUCCUUCUACAGCAAGAGUCCUACUAAUGUAAACCAAACAGAGUCACACAUUCAUACUUGCUGACAUUGGAUGACACAUCAAGUAAAAUCAAUGGCAAUAAUUUUGCCAUGGUUAGAGACUAGUUACGUGUUUUCUCAAAAAUGAUAUAUAAUAGUGUAUAGUAUACUUAUAUGAGUGAAAAAAUAAAAAAAA
ensembl:processed_transcript Rian RNA imprinted and accumulated in nucleus